rnacentral:lncRNA from 1 species
AGUUUGAAUAAUUUUAUUUAUUAUGUUUCUAGAGAUGAGGGUCUCAUUCACCCAGGCUGGCUGGAGUGAGGUGGCACAAUCAUAGCCCAUUGCAGCUUUGAACUCCUAAGCUCAAGUGACCAUCCUUUCUCAGCCUCUGUGAGUAGUUGGAACUAUAGGCAUAUGCCACCAUGCCCAGCUAAUAAUCAUUUUUAAACAAGAGGGUUCAUAUUUUUAUUUUGCACUGGGCUUUGCGCAUUAUAUAGUUAGUCCUGCCUAUAGUGUAUAAGCUGUUAGAUUAGAAUUUAAGGUCCUGAUUCCUUCAUCCUUUUAUUCAUCCCACCUAAGGAGCAAAUUCUUAGCAUGUGCGCUUCCAAAUAAUAGCACAUUAUAUUAAAUUCCAGAGACUCAUAAUUUCCCACUGUGAUUCAAAUCCUGUACAAAAUGUCUCAUCACAGACAGGUAAACCAGCCUAUCAUGAAUACUUUAAAUAUUUGCCUGCUCACUAAAAGUCCCUGGGAGACUUAAAACUACAAAUUCCUGAGCUACUCCUCAGACAGAAUCCAAAUCUUCUGAGCUGAAACAGAGAUCGGUAUUUGCAAAAAAUUUCUUUCCCAUUGUCUGUUUUUACAUGGUUGGGAGGAUGAAGCAAGAGGCUUCAUCAGAAUGUUGAAAUGUAUGGUGUGAGAGGCUUGUGCUGCCAAAUUUAGCUCCUGUUAGGUAUUAAUCUGAUGUAGUUUCUGCCAGUUUCCAAUCCACAAGCAGUGUACCUACCAAGAAGGUUAAUAGCUACUAUUCCCAUUUACUGUGGAUGUGAGACCUCUUGGCUCUUAUAAUCAUGCUUAGCUAACACUUCUGAGAAAAUAUUGGCAGAAUAAAUCAUUUCUAAUUUCUAAUUUUAUCACCCUUCCCAGUUGUUUCUCUAUGUCCUGUGGUUAUUAUGUGGGCUUAAUUCAUUAUAAUUUAUUCCCCUUUCUCUUUCCUGAAUCUGAUCUUAAUUACAGCUGUUACUUUCUUUUGUUCAGCCUUGUCAUUUUUGUGGGGGAAAAAGAAGACCCUAGCCAAGCAGAAGCAGAAGUAGCAUUUCAUAUGGACACCUGUGAAGUUCCUGGUUUUCGGCUGACAUUUGUUCUGCAUGCGUACCACGUAAGGGGUGGAUUAUUUUCUCCUGUGCACUUUCAUUUAGCUCCCUCUAUCAAAUGCGUUUGUUUGCCACCAAGAAAGACAAUCUGCAUUUGAAAAGGAUUAAACAGCCAGUUGUGGAAUUUGGACAUCUUUGACAACUUGGUAGAGAGUUAAUAAGGAAAGGGAGAAGGAAAGCGUUGGGAGCAGGGAAAAGGCUGUGUCUUUCCUGGUUAAAAUGUAUAGACUAUUAACUAUUUCACCAACGCAUUAGGCUGGGCCCAAUCCUUGCUAGAUUCGUUUGAGAAGGGAUUGAGGUUGUCAUUAUAAUACAAAUGUGGCUAGAACAGAUCAUUUAAAUAUUUAAUGUAAAAGCUCACCAUUAAAUGUAUAUAAUGUAAAAAAUAUUCUUGAAAAAAUUUGGCGAUAUCCUGAUUCGUUUCUUGUACAUUUACUUCACUUCUCAAAAUAAACUGAAACUCAGUAUUUUUCUCUUUACUACCUCCAUUGGAUUUCUCUCUCACCCACACUUACUCCAGAGUUCCAUUAGGAGGACACAGUGUCUUCUCCUAAUUGCCUAUUUUGAUCCGUAUCGCUUUUACUCGUAUUUUAAGUUCAUGCCAUCCACUAAGAAAAUCAAACAAACCUCUUUUGUACAAUGGGAGAAAAUAAGUCGAAUGGUUAAGAGCAUGAGUUUCGAAGUCAAACGGACCUGGAUUUAAGUGCCAGCCUGAUCUUUCUUACCUGUGUAAUUUGAGCCUAUCAUUUUACCUUGCCAAGCCUGUUUUCUCAUGUAUCUAAAACAGUGC